rnacentral:rRNA from 1 species
CGUGGGACCCCACCUGACCCCAUGCCGAACUCAGAAGUGAAACGCCGUAGCGCCGAUGGUAGUGUGGGGUCUCCCCAUGCGAGAGUAGGG